AGAAACUUAGGAUUAAAUUUACAAAACCAGAGGCCUUCAAAGCCUCAAACAAGAGACAAAACCCUCUUAGUUUCUG
rnacentral:tRNA from 1 species